UUUACAUUGUUUAUGUCAAAUAUUUAAUCGUUCGUCUUAUUUAAAAAAGUUCUAUGAUUACUAUUUUUUUAUUAUUAGAUGAUAAAAACAUGAAUACUAUUUUAUGUGUGAUUAUUAUUUUAAAAAAAUUAUUAAUUUUUAAAUAAGAUAAAUGGUCAAAUAUUGAACACAGAAAUCCAAAGUUACACUAAAA
rnacentral:pre_miRNA from 1 species